rnacentral:rRNA from 1 species
GACGAACGCUGGCGGCGUGCUUAACACAUGCAAGUCGAACGGAAAGGCCCUGCUUGCAGGGUGCUCGAGUGGCGAACGGGUGAGUAACACGUGGGUGAUCUGCCCCUUACUUUGGGAUAAGCCUGGGAAACUGGGUCUAAUACUGGAUAGGACCAUGCUGUAGGUGGUGUGGUGGAAAGAUUAGUUUCGGUAAGGGAUGAGCUCGCGGCCUAUCAGCUUGUUGGUGGGGUAAUGGCCUACCAAGGCGUCGACGGGUAGCCGGCCUGAGAGGGUGGACGGCCACAUUGGGACUGAGAUACGGCCCAGACUCCUACGGGAGGCAGCAGUGGGGAAUAUUGCACAAUGGGCGCAAGCCUGAUGCAGCGACGCCGCGGGGGGGAUGACGGCCUUCGGGUUGUAAACUCCUUGCAGCCAUGACGAAGCCCUUGUGGUGACGGUAGUGGUAGAAGAAGCACCGGCUAACUACGUG